CCAAGAUCUCUAUGGCCUCAAAGCAUCGUCCAAGCCGAUGAAGACAUUAGUAGAGCGGCGUUGUGUAUACCAUUUUUACGAUGUGUUAUCCGUUCCCUGGGAACUCAAUAUGCCUUCUUCGUUAUUGAAAUCUUGCUACGCUGAGGGAAAUCCAAGGACACUUUAUAUAAAGGGUGUACAAUUGUUCUUCUGAUUCUGCCUUAAAGAAGAAGGGCUUUCUCUCAUGAAGCGUGCAGCAGAUGAAGGAUAUAAGCGUGUUGUGUAUACACACGCAAUGACUCGAGCAAUCUUUUGGUGUGUUGGGCAGUAUUUUGUUGGUAUUCCAAGAGAAUCAGUUCAGAGGAUAGGGAAACUAGUGCGAUCUGUGAAAUGGGGAAGGGGUUUGUGGCAUUCUGACGAGUUCCGCCAAAAUAGGACCCCUUUCAUUUCAGCUUAUCUUUCGUCGUUCUACAGUUGCCAAUGUGCAACACAUGUAGAGCGACAAUGUCUCUGCUUGUGGCACAUUGAUCUGACUAAGGAUGACAACAUGUGUGAGCGCUGUUUCUGGAUCAAAGAGAUUGGCAUGUUCUUACGUGAUUUUGAACUGAUAAGCCUUAUUAUGGGCACAAGGAAGUGGUGAAGAUGUAAAAUCUAUCGGAAUCUUAUAUUUUUUAUGUUCUUUGCUAUGCCAUUAUGUAUGUAUGACAACAUAUUAAUGUAAUGAAGGCUUAGUUAUUGUUUCUUUUGACUGAGUUAUAGUUUAAUUACGACUGCGUUACUGUUUUAUGAUGGCUGAGUUAUUGUUUUCAAGCACACACAUCAUGCAAACAUCAACAAACAUCAUGCAGAGUUAUUAAUAGCGUUAUUAAUUAUGGCUGAGUUAUGAUUUUAUGACGGCUAAUUUAUUGUUUCUUUUGGCUGAUUUAGAGUUGAAUUAUGACUCGAUUUAUGUUUAAUUACGGCUGAAUUAUCAUUGGUUUAAUUUGGCUGAGUUUUGGUCACAUAAUAUGAAGUCAUAUUAGCAUUAAACACUAAUUAAAAUCGGUAUUGCAUCAGAUUUCUUAAUUUACGUACAGACAUGUAAAACAUCAAUUAAAAACGAAUGGAGAGAGUAAUAAUUAGCCUUGAUAUUCUCAUAUCGUUGGCGGAGUUAAAGUAUAAAUCGUCUUGAUAUUAUAAAGAUCUCGAUAUUUUCCACACGCGCCACCAUUAAUCGACAACUCAGUCCAAUCAAGCAAGUGGAAACAUCCCAUUAAUAAUGAAAGUGGGUGAGUGAUAAUCUACGUUGAGACUGAGUUAUAUUAACAUUCACAGCUGAGUUUUGGCUAUGUUUAUUAUGGCUGAAUUAUCAUUAGUUUAAUUACGGCUGUGUUUCGGUCACUUAUGGCUGGGUUUAUGUUUAAUUGAUGGGGAGUUAUCAUUAGUUUACUUCACAGCUGAGUUACUUUAAUACGUUAAGUCUGAGUUACAUAAAAAAUAUGCUGACUUAUAUGUACAAAACAUUACUAAACAAAGAAAUAGUUGUAGCAAAGUAACGACAUUCCAACCCCACAAACAACCACAUUCCUCAAACACCGACCCUGACUCAUACAUUUUUCUCCUUUUCCCUCAGACUCCGUCUUCAUUACUUCAAUCUCUUUCUCUAAUCGAGCAACGUUAAGUCUGAAUUCCGAGAUGUCUUUGUUCAUGCCACUUAUCAGUGACUUAAUAUCCUCAACCUCUUCAACCAAAGACUCAUCCUACCAUUUGAAUAAAUGUCUCUGUUUUCACCAAUAUAACCAUAUCUAAGUAUUACGUUACAUAACAUGUGAAAUAAGAACCAAAACGAACCUUAUUAUAUCCUUUUCCGCAGCAAUAGUACAAUCUUCCUGGAUUUGUAGCGGUUCCAGAUGUAGAAAUGUAACAGGGUUCACCACACCAACAUCGUUUCGGCAUUCCUCUUUCCGCAUUCAAACGUCGUCUGUAAGAAUUUUCUGAAACACAGGAUGAAGAUGACAUUUUGAUUCUCAAAACAAUUUCAGAAACAAAAUAGAAUUAAAUGGAAUUAGGGUAAGUAAGAAGAAGACAUGAUGAAAUGGCGAUGUUUACUUUUUUUCCUUUUUAAGUAAUAUGUAUAUAAUAUUUAAAUGUCUUGAUAUUGUAAAUCCCUCGAUACAUGCGUGGCAGCCGUGUAUUUCAAACUCUUAAUAAUUAGCCUCGUUAUUAGGUUUGAGCAGUAUUUUCCACACACGCCAUAAUUAAUCGACAACUCAGUCCAAUCAAGCAAGUGGAAACGUCCCAUUAGAAAUGUUUUGUAUUAACAUUCACAGCUGAGUUUUGGCUAUGUUUUAUAAUGGCUGAAUUAUUAUUAGUUUAAUUACGGUUGAGUAAUUGUUACUUUAAGGCUGGGUUUAUGUUUAAUAUGGCUGAAUUAUUAUGUUUAAUUAACAUUCACAACUGAGUUACCUUAUACGUUUUGGCUGAGUUAACUUAAAGUUGUCUUUGAGUUAACAUUCACAACUGAGUUACUUUAUAAGUUAUGGCUGAGUUAUUCUAACAGAAGAAUAUUUUCAUUAUGGCUGAGUUAUAAUACUUAAUAUAAAAGAAAUACGAAUCGACAUGUUUACAUUCAGGAACCAAAAUUAUCAGGUUCAAAAUACAGACAAGACAUCACUUUCAGAAACCAAAAUUGUCAGGACCAAACUCUUCAAACAUGUGGACGAGAUCACGCCAAACUCUUGUUAACAUCCACGGAGGCUUGUCGCCUCCGUUUUCCCAAGUUCUCUUCAAAUGGCGCAUCUGGCAACGAAAUAGCGUUCUGGACACAAGAUUAAAAUGUGUCCAAACUGUCAAAUUAUGCCUUCGAUCCCACGUGUUUUUGCGCUACAAUAAAAAGAUUACAAAACUGUUGAAAACAAAAAACAAAAAAUAACUCAGCAACGUUAUGCUGCCGUUUUAAGUGGACAAACUGUUCUUACAGUGAGUUGAAGAAACUAGCGUUCCUUAAAAUGAUUGGGAAUGGCGCGGUAUGUCGGUCAAUCAUGAACCCAUCCUUCUGCAAGAAUCGACGGGAUGGCGAGGGAGAGAUCAUUUAAAAUUUUGAACCAGAUAGUACUGGUUGUGUCAAGCAAUUCACCCGGACCAGGGUAUGGAAGAGUGAGGUUUUCACGAUUUGCAGAGCUUAGUAUCGCAUUGAAACUGUCCUCUAAUAUCGUUGAAUAACCACGAACAAUCGGCACAACUUUUGAUGGGGAUAGAGAGAUACUGUUUAGGUUUUUUCUAGAGAGAGAAAUGUGUAAGAGAGGAGACAAUAUAUAGAGAGGUACGGAACAUCAAACGUCUCGAGUUAAAAUUUCCCAAGAAUCAGUUAUCUUUUUUUCCCCCAAACGUCCAAAUUAAAUUGCACUUUACGGCUGAGUUACUUUAACAUUUACAGCUGACUUAAUAAUUAGGGUUUAGGGUUUAGGGUUGCUUAUUUAGGGUUUAGGUUUGCUUUUUUGGGUUUAAAGGUUUAGGAUUUGGAUUUAUGGUGCAAGAAAUAUUAUAAAUAACACAAAUUCAUAAUAAAUAACACAAUAAUAGUUUAUGAGUUUUGAAGUAUGCUCACACCUUAUAUCUAUCAGUUAAGUUUAUGUGUAAUUGUAAGACAACAUAUACCUCAAGAUCAUGAUUGAUUCUAAACUCGUAAAUUCAAUAAAAAAGACACAUUCAGUUGAUUAUAUAUUCACUUCAAAUUUAUAAUUGGAGUUUCAAUUUAACAUUUUAAAGUAUAAACAUUUAAUUUUUUUUUGAUUCUAGGGUAUGAAUAUGUUUGAGGUAAGACUGAGUUAUACUAAUCGAUACAACUGAGUUAUAUAUACACUUUUCGAUUUUAGGGUAUGUUUUAGGUAAGGUUGAGUUACACAUAUACGACACAGCUGCAUUAUAAAAACGAUAAGACUGAGUCAAAUACAAAAUAACAAACACAGGUUCAAUUGGUCAGCAAACUGCUCAUCACAGAAUUUCCUCCUUCAUCGAGGAUCUAUGCUGCCAUCUUCAUCCGUAAACCUUGAAUAUUUUUAUCGUUCAUCCCAUCAAACGUUACACCAAGCGCUAGACACUCCACAAACUUCAACGAAUAUACCCCACAAUCGCCAACCUGGGUGUUUUGUGGAGUGUAUCUUUUGCUCCUCUUUCUUAAUGAGAACUUCUUCUUAUUAGGGGCUCGGAUAUUGGCAGGAAUAUGAUCACUCAACAUAUACGAAAUCAUGUGCAUCAGCAGUUUAAAUGAAUUUAGAAUUCUCUGCUCACUUUUGGGUGUUGCCUCUCCAAAAAUUGGAUCGUAACAAUCAAUCUUCUCCUUCUUCAAAUCCACAUGAUACGCAACCCAGUGAUUUCCGCCGGUUUGAAGACAUCCGUACAAGUGAUCCACAUCUUCAUACCACAUCAAAUUUGUUGGACAUUGAUUGGGAAGCUUACCCUUUAACAUAUCUUCAUAACCAUUUCUUUUGAAAUUGAACAUACUAGGUUUUAUCUUGAACUGAAUGAAAUCGUGAAUCAAAAAAUUUUGCCACCAAACGUCAACGAAGGCAAUCCGCUUGGACCAGAAUGGAGUGGGAUUUCGCAUGGACCUUUUAAUGAGGACGGUCAAAUACGCAACGACAUGCUACACAAAUAAUAUUAACAAUUCAGCCGUGAUAUAAUAAAAGAAUAUAUAAGUCAACCGUUAUAUAAUAUAUAACUCAGCCGUACUUAAAGAAUAUGUAAGUCAGCCGUAAUCAAAUAUAUAACUCAGCCGCAAUAUAAUAAAAUUAAUAUAUAACUUAGCCGCACUAAAUACUUACAUUAUCAAACACCUAUCCAUAUUCCUUUUCCGGCCACGUUCUUUCAUGGAUGAGUAUGCUCUAGAAGUCACCUUCAUGAUCAGCGGAGAGGACUGCUGGUUUAUCUGCUGGUGCUGGUGGUUUGGGUGGAAUUCUCUUAAUGUGUUGCAUCAGUUUUUUGAGUAAAAUUGGAUCAACAGGUGCUAGAGGGUCAUAUAUUACUGAUGCAGGAGUAACAUUCUACCUCAAGCAUGUCGUUCCAUUCUCUCCUAUGUACGGAAAAACUGCUGGUGAAGAAACUGCAGUGUCUUUUCUCCCGAUAUUCCUUAAUUACUGCAGAUCUAACCACUUCAGAUCUCUCGACGUCAGACUCCGGCGCGAAUUCGUUCUCUUCCCCAACAACUUCGUCACUCACAUCAGCAAAUACACUGUCCUUUCCAGAUUUUUGUACACCGGCACGCGGUGGAGUCACCUUUUUCUUCUUUGACUCAUCCUAUUUUUGCUUCUUUUGGUCAGCCUCUUAUUUCUUCUUUGCCUCACCCUCUUUUUUGGAUGCCUGAGCCUCCUUUUUCUUAGCCCGAGCCUCUUUUUUUCUUAGCCUCAGCCUUCUCCUUCCUCUUCAACGCAGCAUCUGCCUGCUCUGCUUUUUCUUAUCAGCGGCAUCCUCAUCAUUAACAGUAUGCUUGCCCCUGCAGGCGCGUCCAUAGGCUGGAACCUUAUCAUCCUUAGUAGCCUUUGCAGGAGUAACUACUAGGAAAUCAAGAUGUUGACUAUCAAGAUCAGUAGCUUUAGCGACACUACCAAACUCCUCAGCCAAAGUCCUUUUCACCCCUGAUUCCUUAUCAAGCUCCUUCGCCAAAUUCUUUUUCGGUCCAAAUACCUUACCAGGAGUCGCAGCUAACACUGGACUAUUGACAGAGUUCUGCUGCGUUUGAACCCGCAGUGAUGCCAACGAUAAAGAUUUAUCUGCUGAUGGUGGAGAGGGGUUAUCAUUGUUUUCGGGAAUUUUCCCAACUCCCAGAACUUUCAGACGCUCCUCCAGUAAAGCUUUCACCCUGUCAUCAAUGGUCUUUUGGUCCAUCAAUGGUCUGUUCCGGUCAAACUCGUAAGCUUCCAACCGUGAGUCAACUGAUCAAAUUUUCUGGAAAUAUUAUCCAGAGUACCAACAAUGGUCGUCAGAGUCGCUUUGUUCUCCAACUCCAAAUCUUUGCUACCUUCCUUCUCGCUAGAACCCUUUCCCGUUGCAGCAGCUUCAGACUCAUUAUGUGUCUUAACUUUCUUCUACUUCUUAGUGGGUGGCUCAGCUUCUGACGAAACUCCACCCUUCAUUUUCUUCUUCUUAUCAUUCCCCUUCCCUUGCGCAUUACCCUACGUAUUCCCCUGCACUUCCCAAAAACCUUUCACAAAUCUACCUUCAUGUAUGUCUGUUAUCAAGCUAACGAGUUGUGGGUCGUCAGGUUCACUCGACCUUUUAAAAAACAUCUCUUCAAUUGAGUUUUUUAAAAUCAUUCUCCUCACACGCACCUGCAACACUAGGUUAUAAUUAAACUCAGCCACCAAAAUAACACAUAACUCAGCCAUCAAAUAUAAUAAAUCAGCCAUCAAAUAUAAUAAAUCAGCCAUCAAAAAACUAAAAACUAAAAACUCAGCGUUAAACCUUACCUCGCCAUGCUCUUUGAUUUUGACAGCCAACAAGUUAUCAAGACUUGCACGUGUACGCUUUCCACCCCAUCGCAAAAGCGGAACGUCUUCAUUAUUCACCACCCUCCCAAAAUUCUCACCGAAGCAGGCGACAGAUUCAUACGCCCAAAUAAAUAACGCGAUGGUCAUGCCGCUUAUUGUGUAUGACCCUCCUUCUGGAGCCAACAUAUUAAUAUAGUCAAUGAGAACUUUAUAUGCAGUCUGACCCCAUGGGUACGACCCCAUGGCUUCAUCGUCGAAUACCCUUAUUGCACUUUCAAAAGGUAUCCUUGAAUUGUGAUGCAAACAAUAGACUCCCAUGGCUUGAAGAAGUAGCAGCCCCAACCACUUACGCUUUUCAGAAAUCCAAAGCGGACAGAACGCUAAUGCUUCCUUAUGUUCAUCUAACUUGGGUCCCAUCCCAAGCGGCACCUUCAACUCCUCCCAAAACUCUUUGUAUUGAUCAGCUUCAAACCUUUCUGUUGGCAAUGGAUCCGUAUUUAACCCGGUGAUCUCACCAAACUCGAGCAAGCUAAACCUGAUAGCCUCGUCAACCACGAGACACCAUAUCUCCUUCUUAUGUACUCGCAGAUGUCUACAUAGUAGAUAGUGUACGGUCCUACCAGACCAUAUGCUUUCGCGUCCAACUAGCCUAGCAACUACUCCAAUGGGAGAAUUCACCAGUUCUUCCCACACAUCAAGUCCAAUUGUUUCUCUAAUGUGAGAGAAAUUUCCUAGACGGAAAUUGUGAUUAAUUUUUUUUUUCCAGGUCAAAAGACCCUUCAGGGUAAAGUCUUGGAAGGUAAUCAUGUGAUUUAACUUCAUCAACAUCCAUCUGAUCAUAUAAUCUAACAAUAAAUCAGCCACAAGAAAACAAUAACACAUACGUACUAUAACAAUAACCCAGCCACAAAAUGUUUGAAUAACUCAGUCACAACAUAACUGUAACUCAGCCACAACAUAACAUUAACUUAGUCAUGACACAUCGAUAACUCAGCCAUAACAUAACCCUAACUCAGUCGCAACAAAACCCUAACCCAGACGCAACAAAACCCGCAACAAAACCAUAUCACAGCCGUAACAUAACCCUAUCUCAGUCGCUACAAAAUAUAAUAUAUACCGUCACGUUAUCCUAUCGGAAAAGACGAACCCGUAGAUAAGAAUGCGGCGAAGACGGUGGGGAAGACGAUUUCGUAUAAACAAUUGAAGACGACGAUUUCGGGCACGACGAUAACGGAGAAAACAGAGUUUCACGACAGAGAGGUAGUUCGAGGAAGAGGAAGUAAACACAAACAAUGUCGAUGACGAAGAGUGGGAGUAUCCUCGCGGUUCCUUCUUCGACGGUUCCUUCUUCGAGACGACAAAGACAAUAUUCUUAGUUAGUUUUUUUUUACUUCUAUGUAGUUAUGUUUGAGAAGAGACGGUUUGGUUUCUAUUCUGAUGAUGUGUAUAUUUAAUUACUGAUGUGGAUUUAAUGUUUAAAAAUAAUUUCAAUUAAAAUAACUAACUAAAAGCCUUUACAGUCAUUUCUUAUGGGUAGAAAAUUUUUUUAGUAAUUUUUAAAAGAUGUUUAACACUCUAAUAAUAAAACAAUUUUUGUUAAACAUUCUAAUAAUUUUCUCUUUAUUUAUUCCCAUCAUUGUUUGUAUGUUCCCAAGUUCAUAUUAACUUUUCAAUAGUUUCAAUAUUUAUUUUCUCGUUUUCCUUUUGAAAGUAUGUAUCCUUAUGUAGAUGUGAAUGCCUCCUUUGUAAAACAAGACCCAAUUUUGCAAUUAAAAGGGGACGCAGUUUCUCUCCCAAGAAAUCGAAUACCUGGGAAGGGGCCAUUGAUCUGAAUCUGGUGGUUGUAAAACCCUAAAGUAUACGUGUACAGAUUAAAAUAGUCUAGGCGAAUGUCUUCUUCACCGAAGUCUAGGCGAAUGUCUCUUCCCAUGCUUUGACGAAAAUACAAUAAGAGUUAGGUCACGGUUUUACCAGAGCCAUCGACUGUUCACCAAAAGUCCGCUUGGGAAAAUUCAAUGACGAUUUGUCAAAUUUGUAGACCACGGAGAGAUUGAAAAUAAAGUUGAAAUUCCAUGCUUGAAAAAAAUUAUAUCUUUCAAGACUCAGAGGUUUUCAUUUUAAGACAUUCAAAUUAACACAAUUAUAGGAAAGAACAAAAUGAUCAACUUAUUAGUAUCCUUCUGGUUUGUGCUCAUAAGCAGCAGUGCCUACGCAAAUACUUGCCUUAACAGAUCUGGUUUCUUCGCACCCGAUGGUACUUACGACUUAAACCGCCGAGUCAUGCUCUCUACUCUUCCUUCUAACGUCACAGCUAAUGAUGGCUUCUAUACAACGUCGACCGGACAAGAUCCCAACAGAGUAUACGGUUUAGGGAUGUGUGUACCAGGUAUUGAAGCAGGAUCUUGUUCUGAUUGUAUCAUGGCUGCCUCUAAUGGGUUGGUACAGAAUUGUACUACUCAGAUAGAAGCUAUAGACUGGAGGAUGUAUAGAAAUACACUUUGUCUUGUACGCUACUCAAACCGCUCGUUUUACGGAUCGCUCGAUAUGGAAAUUAUACGACAUGACUACAAUACCAGAGAUUAUCAACCUAACGGGACGGAUUUCGAUAUGACAUGGGAAGCUUUGAUGGUUGGUGUGAUAGAAGAUGUUUCUUCUACGAACUACGCGGCUGGAAGACGAACGCUUGAAUUUUCCAACACCAACAUUUACGGUUUUAUGCAAUGCAGUAGAGACAUAUCUCCUCAAAACUGCACCCGGUGUCUACAACAAAAUGUGAUUGAUUAUAGGUCAUGUUGCCGUGGGAGACAAGGAGGUACUGUUUCGAGGCCGAGCUGUUUCCUUCGAUGGGAGAUUUUUGCCUUCUUGGGACUUCCCGAAAACAUUCCUCCUCCUGAAAAGGGUAAGACCAUGUUUUAUAAUCUUUGUUGUUAUCAGGUCAUAUGAUUUUUUUAGCCCAUAUCUAAACCAUGUUUGAAGUUUAAUCUUAUCUGUUAUGUUCUUUUUUUUUCUGUGUUAGUUCUUAUUCUGUGAUUUGGGUUCGUGCAGAUGAGAAAAGUAUUUCUACAGGAGCUAUUGUGGCAAUUGUAAUUGUUCCUAUCAUAUUGCUUGCUCUAGGAUUUGGAAUUUGGAGGAAGAGAAAAUCGUAUAAAGCAUUUACAACUGAAAGUGAGUUUCCUCAUGUUUUUGUACAAAGACAGAUUUUCAAAACACAAGUAGAUUCAAUACGUUUUUUACUCUUCUAUGUUCUUGUCAGACGGUUAUUUCUCUGCUGCAAAGAGAUUAACAAAGACUUACAAUACUGCACCGCCAGAUAAGGGUAAAGAGAUACGAAGUUGAUAUAGAAAUAUAGUGACCCUUGGAAACUCUCCAGUUAUGUGUAAAUGCUUUUCUUUUCUUUUUUGCAGCUGGGGAUGAUAUUUCAACUUCAGGUUCACUUCAAUUCUAUUUUAAAGCUAUCGAGGCUGCAACAAGUAAUUUUCACAACAUUAACAAGCUUGGUCAUGGUGGAUUUGGUGAAGUUUACAAGGUAUAGUGUUUGUACUAGAAACUUGACGAGAAAGCAAACAAAUAUAUUCUGAUAAAUUAUGAGACGUGCAGGGAACGUUUCCGAAUGGAACAGAGAUUGCUGUGAAGAGACUAUCUAAAACUUCAGGACAAGGUGAAAGAGAAUUCAAGAACGAGGUGCUUCUUGUAGCUAAACUUCAACAUAGAAAUCUUGUUAGGCUUCUUGGGUUUUGUGUCCAAGGAGAGGAAAGGAUAUUAGUCUACGAGUUUUUGCCCAACAAGAGUCUUAACUACUUCCUCUUUGGUGGUAAGUAAAAUAAGAACAAAUGAUAGGCUUAUUAUUCUCUGAAACCUUAGUUCUUAAUCUCAUCAUAGUCUAAUUGGUCAAUGAGGCAUGUGCAGAUUCAACAAAGAGGAGCCAAUUAGAUUGGACAAGACGGUACAAGAUCAUUGAAGGGAUCACUCGAGGAAUUUUGUAUCUUCAUCAAGAUUCACGGCUUACAAUCAUACACCGUGAUCUAAAAGCCAGCAAUAUUUUAUUAGAUGCAGAUAUGAACCCAAAAAUUGCGGAUUUUGGUAUGGCUAGGAAUUUCAGAAUGGACCAAACGGAAGAUAACACAGGAAGAGUAGUUGGAACAUUGUAAGUAUUUGUCCAGUUUAGUUAUAAUCUGUAACUCUUUAUUGUUUUUGAUAAGUUAUAUGGGAUGUGUUUUUCAGCGGUUACAUGCCGCCGGAAUAUGUUGCGAAUGGGCAGUUCUCGACUAAGUCUGAUGUGUAUAGUUUUGGAGUAUUGAUUCUGGAGAUUAUUGGUGGAAAAAAGAAUAGUAGCUUCCACGAGAUAGAUGGUUCAACAGGCAACUUGGUUACAUAUGUUAGUAAAUUUCCACACUAUCUCACAGUUUGCUACUUCAUUUAUAGUAAUAAUUAUUGCUCUGAACACUAGUUUCCUGGAAAACGAAUAAACAGGUAUGGAGGCUUUGGAACAAUGAUUCAUUGUUGGAACUCGUAGAUCCGGUCAUAGGAGAUAACUAUGAUAAGUAUGAAGUCAUCAGAUGCGUCCAUAUUGGGUUAUUAUGUGUUCAAGAAAAUCCAACAGAUCGUCCAAGCAUGUUCACAAUAUUUAAGAUGCUCACUAAUACUUCAAUUACACUGCCUGUGCCCCAACCUCCUGGGUUUUUCUUCAGAGUCAGAUCAGAGGAUCUCCCAUUAGCUGAGAGCUUUCAGCCUGGUCCGUCCACUAGCAUGUCCAUUGCUUGUUCUGUAAAUGAUGUAUCGAUCACGUGUGUUAGUCCUCGUUGAAGGCCAGGCUAUUUUUGAGAAGUAUUAAGUAAUAUAACGCAUAUAUUCUUUCAUAAACAGAUUUUUAAUGAAUCUUGAGAAGACUUAAAGAAAUGAAGAGCUCUGUAUUAGUUUCAUCUUCUUUAUAAGCUUGACUUUGAUACGUUGCAGCAAGUGUAUUUCCGCAAGCAUAUGAAGAAGAGUGGAGACAGCGCAGAGACAGUAGUCGCAGAGGGAGAGCAAAUGAAUGAGGAAGUAACGAGCAAAGCCUCGGAGUGAGAGAGAGACUUUGCGAGUGGGAAAUAAUGAAUCGAAGCCUUGGAGUGUGAGAGAGACUUUGCGGUUUUAAUAUCUCUUUAUAAAUAUAGGAAUAAAGCUCACACUUUCCUUAUGUUGAGUAUUGUGAGAAGUGGCGUAUGUGUCCUUCAGGGUGAUCGUGUGUGAUCAUCGUUACUUCCUUGUAAUCGAUACUGGGUAUUUGGGGUUUAUCAUAAUCAAAGUAUUAUUCAGUAUUCUGGUGUGGGAGAUUUACAAGGGGGUUGAGUGUAACGAGAGAUCAUAACAACAAACUUAACAAAUUGGUGCGUUUGUGACUCGAUCGAAACUUCGCUGUGUCUUCGAGGGCGGAUUCUAGUCUGAUGUUACGUUCUUACGACGAUUCCACCGGCGAUCAUGAGUUGGCUUUUCUUCGCACGGAGUGGGAACGUUUGGCGCAUCACGCCGAAGUUACGGCGGCUCGUUUUACAGAGAUGGAUAAGCGCCUUGCGGCGUACGAUUCUCGUUUUGAUUCCAUUGAUCGUCGCUUCGAUCAGCUGACGACGAUCCUCCUUCGUAUGGAGAGUGACCAGCUACCGUAGAAAGCUCAAGGAAAGGCGAUCACCUCGCCAAGCGAUUCUCCAGAUCCAGCGACGAUGUCGUCGUCUCGAUCGCAUCUCGAUCAUCGUCCUCCUGGGUUUGGUGUUCCGCCGUCGGUCUUUGAGACCCGUGAAGGGUUGUUGAAGAAGCUCGAGAUGCUUGUUUUCUCUGGAUCUAACCCAUUUGGUUGGAUUGCUCAGGUUGAACGUUACUUUUGUUUUGGUCAGUUUCAUGGGCUCGAGCGGUUGCAGAUGGUUUCGAUGAGUUUGGAGGGUCCGGUCCUGAACUGGUUUAAUGCGGAAACAGAGAAUGAUCCUUUCACGGACUGGCAUCAGUUCAAGUGCCGUUUGGUAGCACGUUUUCGACGAGGAAUGGAGGAGGAGCCGGGAAAACGUCUGGUCUCGCUUCGCCAGACCGGUUCUAUUGCUGAUUACUUAAUGAGUUUGAGGAGUUGCGUUCUAUUGUCACGGGUGUUGAUGAGCAGAAUCUGGUUCAUGUGUUCUUUAAUUGGUUGAAACCAGAGUUUCAGGAGGUCAUCAAGAUGAAAGAACCGCAAGGGUUAACUCAACAUAUAGCAGCGGUUAUUGGUAUGGAGGGUAGUGCGUUCUGCAAGUCAGUCAGCUUGGCAGCUCAGAAAGAUGGAGGGGUUUCUCGCGGGCUGUUUUCUCAGGGAUCUAAAGGCACGGGUUUUGGGUCUCAGUCAGGGUACAAAGGGGCUCCACCGGUUGCUAACAGACAGGCUACGGGUACUUCUUUCACACCACGGUUGAAGUAUACUCCAGCCGAGUUGGAUGCUAUGAGGAGGGAUAAUAUCUUUUUCAAAUGUAAGGGUCCUUACUCGAAGACGCACAUUUGUCCUAAGAAGGAGCUUCACAUUUUGACAGUGAUUAACGGGUAUGAUGUGGAAAUUUUGGAUGAAGGAGACGCUGCAGUUGACGUCACUAUGAACACUGAUCAGGUGGAGCUGUCUCUUAAUGCGUUUUUGGGUAUUGAUACUCCUACUACUACUAAGCUUAUGGGGGUUUUUGGUAAUGUUGGCGCUGUGGUGAUGAUUGAUAGUGGAGCCACCCAUAAUUUCGUUUCUCCUCGGGUGGUGGAGGCGGCGAAGCUUCAGUUGGCUACAGACAUGCGUUUUCAGGUGCUAUUAGGCACUGGAGUUACGGUGGAAGCACUCGGAGUUUGUCGAGGAAUCACUUUCUCUCUGCAAGAUAACUUCUUUCAGAGUGAUUUUGUUUCUUUGGAAUUGGGUAAUCUGGAUGUUUUCUUGGGGGUGCAGUGGCUGCGCUGUUUGGGAAAGUGUUUAGUGGAUUGAGAGCUUCAAGAGUGGUCCUUUCAGUACUGUGGACGAACCGUAACCUUGCGUGGCGACCCUUCGCUCACGAAGACUGCUGCCUCAUUGAAAGCUCUUCAAGUUUCGGUGUUUACUGAUGCUUUGGAGCUCGGAACAGCGGCAGUAACAGACUCUGUCAUGAUCCCAUCUAUCUCUGCAGUGUUGGAUGACUUUCAAGAUGUGUUUGCGGUUCCGUCUGGAUUACCUCCUAUUCGGGGCCGUGAGCAUACAAUUCACUUACAACCCGGAGUUACUGCGAUCUCGGUGCGACCAUACCGUUACCCUCACGCAAGCAAGGAGGCGAUGGAAGCUAUGGUCACUGAGAUGCUGCAGAGUGGCAUCAUUCGACCCAGUCAAAGCCCUUUUUCAAGUCCUGUGUUGUUGGUGAGGAAGAAGGACAAGACGUGGCAUUUUUGUGUGGACUAUCGGGCAGUAAAUCGCGUCACCAUUCCGGACAAGUAUCCUAUUCCGAUGAUUGAUCAGUUAUUGGAUGAACUUCAUGGAGCUCGCAUGUUCUCAAAGAUUGAUUUACGUUCCGGUUAUCAUCAGAUUCAGAUGCGAGAGGAGGAUAUUCCGAAGACAGCUUUUCGAACUCACGAAGGCCAUUACGAGUUUUUGGUUAUGCCUUUUGGCCUCACCAACGCCCCGGCGACGUUUCAGGCCUUAAUGAAUGAGAUUUUUCGACCUUAUCUUCGUCGCUUCGUGCUGGUCUUCUUCGAUGAUAUCUUGAUCUAUAGCAAGUCCAUUGAAGAACACGAAGAACACUUGGCUGUGGUGCUACAGGUGCUGCGGGAACAAGCCUUGUUCGCUAACCGCAAGAAGUGUACAUUUGGCCAAGUGCAGGUUGAUUACUUGGGCCACAUCAUCUCGGCUGAAGGCGUGUCAACGGACCCUGCCAAGACUGACGGCAUGCGCAAAUGGCCUAUUCCACGAUCAGUCAAAGAUCUGUGCGGGUUCCUUGGCCUCACGGGCUAUUACCGCCAUUUUGUUAAAGACUAUGGGAUCUUGGCACGACCUCUGACUUCCUUACUACGUAAAGAUCAGUUCUGUUGGUCAGUUAAGGCUGAGGAAGCUUUUGCAGCUCUCAAGCACGCGAUGAUGACUACACCGGUACUCACAUUGCCAGACUUCACUCAGUUGUUCGUGGUGGAGACGGAUGCUUCGGGUUUUGGCUUGGGCGCUGUCCCCAAGCAGAACAAACGCCCUGUGGCAUAUUUCAGUCACAGUCUCACUCCCCGUGAACAGCUCAAACCUAUCUACGAGAGGGAGCUCAUGGCAAUUGUUCUAGCAGUCAUCAAAUAGAAGCAUUAUCUGACUGGUCGUCGUUUCGUGGUUCACACGGAUCAGCGCAGCCUGAAGUUUUUGCUCGAGCAACGCGAAGUAUCUAUGGAAUAUCAGCGUUGGCUCACACGUUUGAUGGGUUUCCAGUUUGACAUCAUCUACAAACCUGGGAUUGAAAACAAAGCAGCCGACGGUCUCUCGCGGCAGAUGCAGGAUUCUGUUCCGGAGGCCUGCUCAACCUUGUUCGCAUUAAUGGUUCCGUCUGUCAUUCAACUGCAAGAUAUUUUGGUAAUAGGUUUUUCUGCCUAUUGCAAAUGUUGUAGUAUAGGGGGGUGAAUGUCGAACCAGUCCUAGUGAUGUGAAUCAGUGAGAAUACAAGUCAUUUCUUAAGCUAAGCAGAUUCAAUAGUUGUGAGUGUGUGACAAGUAACAAUAGCAAACAGAGCAAUACAACAAGGUUUUAAUCAAUUUAGACAAGUGAAUCCAUGGGUAUUGGGAAUUGACUUCAAGUAACUAAGAUCCAAUCUAGGUGACAAGCUUUCAAUCAAAGUAAUCUCUUAAGUCUAAACACAAUUUUAGACAAGUCCUAUGUCUAGGUAAAUGUCCAUUUGCUUAGAAAUCAUUAAACAUCAAAUGUCUUUGGCUUAAUUCAAUCAAGCAAUCUUUAAGUUCAAGUUUAAUAACUAUCUAGCAAUUUUAACAUCAAGUGUCCUUGGCUAAUCUCACUAGAGCUUAGUUGAGUUGAUUCAAACACUUCAUCUAAUCAUGUCUGAUGAGAAGUGUUUAGAAAUCAGGUUUAGAGUGAUCAAGACUAAACAAGCAUUAAAAAUACUCAACAAGCAAGUUCAUACAAGGAUCUAAUACAAUAACACCAUAGAUCUUCACUAAGUUACUCUAAUCUCCCUAACCCAUGAAUUCCUUAUGCUGCUGGAUUUAAUUUGUCCAGUUUAGCUUUUUUAUGUCAUCUAAUACUUGUUGGAGUUUGGUCAAUGAAGAAAAAAAGGAAAAUUUAAAAAACGAAUUUUUAAAUAGAAUUGAAGCUUUAGAUAAAAAAGGGUCUAUUGAAAAUAUACUGGAAAAAACAACUCGAUUUUGUCAUAACGAAACUCAAAAAGAAUAUUUACCUAAAAUUUAUGAUCCAUUUUUACAUGGGAUUUCGCGCGGAAGAAUCAAAAAAUUAUCUCCGUUCCAAAUCAUAACCAAAACCUAUAAAAAAAAGAAUAUAAGAGGAUCUUGGAUAAACAAAAUUCAUGCUAUACUUCUGAAGAUUAAUUCUCAAAAAUUUGAGCAAACAAUAGAAAAAUUUAAAAGAAAGUCUUUAUCAAUAGAGAAAAAACUUUAUUUUUUUUCCGAACCCCAAGAAGAAAAAAUUCAGUCAGAAGAAGAAAUAAAAAUUUUCAAAAUUUUAUUUGAUGUCGUUAUAAUUUAUAAUAAUGAUCAAACUCUUAUAAAAAAUUUUAUUGAUUUCCAUGAAAUCAAUAAACAAGUUCCUCAAUGGUCAUACAAAUUAACAAGUGAAUUGGAAGAAUUGGAAGCUGAAACUGAAGAAAAUAUACCAACCGAACCUGGAAUUCGUUCAAGAAAAGCAAAACGUGUAGUGGUUUUUACUGAUUUAAAAGAACCGCAUAACGAGAUUUAUACUAAUCUCAAAGAUAAUCAAAAUUCUGAUCAAACAGAUGAAAUGGCUUUGAUCCGUUAUUCACAACAAUCUGAUUUUCGUCGAGAGAUAAUUAAAGGAUCCAUGCGUUCCCAAAGGCGUAAAACUGUUAUUUGGGAAUUUUUGCAAGCAAAAGCACAUUCGCCCCC
rnacentral:lncRNA from 1 species